GACGGUGAUGAUUGCUUCAUUAUUCUGACACCUCUUGUAUGAGAUGAAUCUAGGUUCAUCUUUGAGCACAUAAAGCAACUCUCUGAGUC
rfam:Lupinus angustifolius cultivar Tanjil chromosome LG10, whole genome shotgun sequence.